AUACGAAGGGUGCAAGCGUUAAUCGGAAUUACUGGGCGUAAAGCGCGCGUAGGUGGUUCGUUAAGUUGGAUGUGAAAGCCCCGGGCUCAACCUGGGAACUGCAUCCAAAACUGGCGAGCUAGAGUAUGGCAGAGGGUGGUGGAAUUUCCUGUGUAGCGGUGAAAUGCGUAGAUAUAGGAAGGAACACCAGUGGCGAAGGCGACCACCUGGGCUAAUACUGACACUGAGGUGCGAAAGCGUGGGGAGCAAACAGGAUUAGAUCCCCUGGUAGUCCACGCCGUAAACGAUGUCGACUAGCCGUUGGGAUCCUUGAGAUCUUAGUGGCGCAGCUAACGCAUUAAGUCGACCGCCUGGGGAGUACGGCCGCAAGGUUAAAACUCAAAUGAAUUGACGGGG
rnacentral:rRNA from 1 species